rnacentral:misc_RNA from 1 species
UAUUGUUGACUGGAGAGACUUCUACUUCCGAACAUACACAAAAUAUGGGCCCACAGCCAGUCAGCCAUAUUAUCCCAUAUUCUCCUACUGAAGAUAUUCCUUCUAUUUCUUCCGGAUAAAGACAUUUUAUUGGCCGCAAGAUCGAUCUGUUGGUAAGCUAGUUGGUCGGUAUUAUGAUAGUGAAGGCAAUCCCACGAAGUACUUAAAAGGGGUUGAAGCAAAGGCCGCCAGAGGUGCUCAGCUGAUGGAAAAACAAAAGAAUGAAGAGGCUAAACUACCUAGCUGUAAUUCAAGGUGGAGUCAACAAGAGGGUUCAGAGGUUUGGUGUGAUGAUGGAUAUCCGAGAUUAGUUCAACGACCUACAGAGAUAGCGUUGACAGGAAAGAUGAGCAAACGAUGUGCUUGCUUUAAAGAGGAAGAUCUUGACCAGCCAGGUCUGGAAGUCUACAAAGGAUGUGAUUAUUCUGCCAAAACAUGCCGGUUAUAAAUACUGCAUUGUGAAACUUCGUAGGAUAUUGAUAUUUCCUUAUAAAAAGAAUCAUAGAAUAUUUGACAUCAAUUCCACAUACAACAUUCUGUACAGUUUUCCAUUUUGCUUAGAAGAGUCCAGAGUCUUGUGCCAAAAUUAAGAUUUUAAUCAGUUAAUCUGUGCUAUUGAAUUAAGGAAUGUGGAUGGCG